ACUGUGUUACUCUGACCUUUACAGAAACUGUCUGGUCAGGAGUGGUUCUCCACAGGGGAUCCGUUCAAUUUGCCGGCUGUCUGCAUCCCGGGGGUCAGGAUAAAGACGUUGGAAUCCCAACAGCUGGCAAUGCUGCAGCCGGACUCCCGGCAAAUCAGGACAAUUCCCACUCGUGGGUGUCCAUGGCUCCCCUAAUGUGGGAAUAGAUCCUGUAGUGAGCCACUGAGACCGCAGUGUGAAGGACAGUCCUGUCUCCUCAAGGCACGAGCAGUGGUGAUGGGUCAGACCCUAUCCUGCUGUCGGAAAUUAGGAGAACCCACUGCCUGAAUGGGGACUUCAGGAAGUUUCAACCAACAUCAACCACGGUCCUCUUUAACUAAUGAGUCUACAAUUCCCUAUGUAUAUGUGGGUGACAGCGUUGGGUCAUGUACUCCAGGUAGAUAGCUAUGUUGCUAAUAUGAAAGUUUAAUAGCUGAUCUUUUCAUUUAUACCAUGGUGUUACCAGUAGUUUCAAAGUAUAGUGUUUUCUGCAUGACACAUAGAUUUCUUGUGUAAGGGCCACUGGAGUAGGUAUGACAGGUUGUAGUUAUGAGACCAGCGAUCAGGAGACUGCCAGUCAUAUUACCUCCCUCUAGAUCCCGCACCCUCACAAUCGCGACGGUCGACAUGCCGACCAACAGGGACUAUUCUCACUCGUGGGUGUCCACGACACCCAUAGAGUAGGAAUAGAACCCAUGUCGACUGCAGGUUGCCACCGAUCCCACAGCAUGGCGAGUGCAGCCAGCCCGCAAGGGGCUUGUUGCACCCGCCACCGCUGGAAUUCUGCUGCCGAGAUGCUGGCGUCGGUAUGCUGACCGUCGGUCACGCAAUACACACCCGUUAUCACAUCCCUGUACACAGACCUUACUUUAAUAACAGAUUAACAAACAGAACUUCUAAAUGCCUUACAAUGAAACCGAGAAUGAGUUUGUACACAUACUUAAAACAGAAGAUAGACCAUGAGGAUAAAAGAAUAAGUCAUUGUGUUGUAACUCACAGUGGGUACACUGAUCUUUAGGUCCAAACAACAGGUCAGAACAGGAGCAGGAGGAAAAGCUUUGUAAGCAGAAAUUAGAGUAUACGAGGGGAGUGUUCCCUUUAUUUAAUUGGGAUUCAACUAAGACGGAGAGCUCUGCAAUAUAUAUCUAAGAUUAGUGCAUUUACAAUGAGAUUGACUAUCCAUUCUGAGCAUAGCCAGAUUAAGGGGGGGAUGCAGGGCAUAUUGUACCCCGGGCCCCCUUUUGUCAGGGGGCCCCCUGAGCAGAGCACACUGACAUCACUAGCAUUCUCUCUUAAGCAGCAGCAGAACCAGCAGCCUGAAUGUGAGCAGGACAGUAUGCAGUGAAGGUAGAGACACAGGAGCAUCAUGUUUCAUGAGCUACCGAUAGAGCUUUCCGACCAGAGGAGAGAUAGAAGGGUGGAGAGAGCUGUAAAUGACACUGGGAUCCCAGCGUCUCCUCUUCCCUGUCUGGGUGUCUGAGUCUUGUGUAAACUGUUAUGCAACUAAACCAUUUGGGUCUAGAGAUAGACACACACAGAGAGUCCUCCUGAGUCCUGUCUCAGUGUGUAAGUAGUACAGAGGCUGCUGCUAUUCUUGCAUGUGACAAGAUAAAUUAUUUCAUUUUUCU